UUUUAACAAAACUAUCCGCCAGAGAACUACUAGCAACAGCUUAAAACUCAAAGGACUUGGCGGUGCUUUACAUCCCUCUAGAGGAGCCUGUUCUAUAAUCGAUAAACCCCGAUAUACCUCACCAUCUCUUGCUAAUUCAGCCUAUAUACCGCCAUCUUCAGCAAACCCUAAAAAGGAAAAAAAGUAAGCACAAGUAUCUUAACACAAAAAAGUUAGGUCAAGGUGUAGCCCAUGAGAUGGGAAGCAAUGGGCUACAUUUUCUAAAACUAGAACACCCACGAAAAUCCUUAUGAAACUAAGUAUUAAAGGAGGAUUUAGUAGUAAAUUUGAGAAUAGAGAGCUCAAUUGAAUCGGGCCAUGAAGCACGCACACACCGCCCGUC
rnacentral:rRNA from 1 species